UCCCAGACUCCUACGGGAGGCAGCAGUGGGGGAUAUUGCACAAUGGGGGGAACCCUGAUGCAGCAACGCCGCGUGAGUGAAGAAGUGUUUCGGUAUGUAAAGCUCUAUCAGCAGGGAAGAAGAUGACGGUACCUGAGUAAGAAGCCCCGGCUAACUACGUGCCAGCAGCCGCGGUAAUACGUAGGGGGCAAGCGUUAUCCGGAUUUACUGGGUGUAAAGGGAGCGUAGACGGUGAGACAAGUCUGAAGUGAAAGCCCGGGGCUCAACCCCGGGACUGCUUUGGAAACUGCCUGACUGGAGUGCUGGAGAGGCAAGCGGAAUUCCUAGUGUAGCGGUGAAAUGCGUAGAUAUUAGGAAGAACACCAGUGGCGAAGGCGGCUUGCUGGACAGUAACUGACGUUGAGGCUCGAAAGCGUGGGGAGCAAACAGGAUUAGAUACCCGGGUA
rnacentral:rRNA from 1 species